rnacentral:rRNA from 1 species
UGAAUACGAGAUGCUACGGCGUCGAAGCAGUCUAUGUCAUACUUCCAAGAAAAGCUUGCACUGUCAUAAACAAAUAAUGCCUGUACCAUAACCGACACAGGUGGGUAGGUAGAGUAUACUAAGGGGCGCGAGAUAACUCUCUCUAAGGAACUCGGCAAAAUGACUCCGUAACUUCGGGAGAAGGAGUGCCUUAUUUAUAAGGUUGCAAUAACAAGAUCCAAGCAACUGUUUACCAAAAACACAGGUCUCCGCUAAGUCGUAAGACGAUGUAUGGGGGCUGACGCCUGCCCAGUGCCAGAAGGUUAAAGAAGUUGGUUAGCAUCCGCGAAGCUGAUAACUGAAGCCCUGGUGAACGGCGGCCGUAACUAUAACGGUCCUAAGGUAGCGAAAUUCCUUGUCGGGUAAGUUCCGACCCGCACGAAAGGCGUAAUGAUUUGGAUACUGUCUCGGAGAGGGGCUCGGUGAAAUAGACUUGUCUGUGAAGAUGCGGACUACCUGCACCAGGACAGAAAGACCCUAUGAAGCUUUACUGUAACCUGAAAUUGAAAUUGGACUUUACUUGCGCAGUAUAGGUGGGAGGCGUUGAGAAUAUUCUUGCGGGAUUAUUGGAGCCAUCAGUGAGAUACCACUCUUGUAAUGUUAGAUUUCUAACUUUGUAUCAUUAUCUGGUCAAAGAACAGUUUCAGGCGGGCAGUUUGACUGGGGCGGUCGCCUCCUAAACGGUAACGGAGGCGCACAAAGGUUUCCUCUGAACGGGUAGAAAUCGUAUCUAGAGUGUAAAGGCAUAAGGAAGCUUGACUGUGAGACCUACAAGUCGAGCAGGGACGAAAGUCGGUCUUAGUGAUCUGACGGUGCUGAGUGGAAAGGCCGUCACUCAACGGAUAAAAGUUACUCUAAGGAUAACAGGCUGAUCUCCCCCAAGAGUUCACAUCGACGGGGAGGUUUGGCACCUCGAUGUCGGCUCAUCGCAUCCUGGGGCGGUAGUACGUCCCAAGGGUUGGGCUGUUCGCCCAUGAAAGCGGUACGCGAGCUGGGUUCAGAACGUCGUGAGACAGUUCGGUCCAUAUCCGGUGUAGGCGUUAGAAUAUUGAGAGGAGCCUUCUUUAGUACGAGAGGACCGAGAAGGACAUACCUCUGGUGUACCAGUUAUCGUGCCAACGGUAAACGCUGGGUAGCUAUGUGUGGAGUGGAUAACCGCUGAAAGCAUCUAAGUGGGAAGCCCACCUCAAGAUAAG